rnacentral:rRNA from 1 species
UACGUAGGGUGCAAGCGUUUAAUCGGAAUUACUGGGCGUAAAGCGUGCGCAGGCGGUGAUGUAAGACAGAUGUGAAAUCCCCGGGCUCAACCUGGGAACUGCAUUUGUGACUGCAUAGCUAGAGUACGGUAGAGGGGGAUGGAAUUCCGCGUGUAGCAGUGAAAUGCGUAGAUAUGCGGAGGAACACCGAUGGCGAAGGCAAUCCCCUGGACCUGUACUGACGCUCAUGCACGAAAGCGUGGGGAGCAAACGAGG